rnacentral:lncRNA from 1 species
GUGCAAACAAAAUAUUUGACUGUAUUUUGUGUAGAAUUAUGAAUAUUUGGGGUUAUUAUGGGUUAUGUACAGUUAGCUAUGACACAUCUGGACAACUUUUCAAUCCUGUGUAUCAUACUCAUAAUCAGUAUUAUGAGUAUGAUACAACACUGAAAAUAUUAUAUGAACCCCAAUGCCAUGUGACCCUAUUACAUCUCAUAGAACACAUAAUUAUGUAUUCAGAUGGUGGGCUACUGAACAAGCAUCUCACUGAACAUGCAUCACUAAUUCGGUUAUUCAAUCAUUUUGUUGUGUCCACUUCAAGCCUGCACAACUAUACUAGCAGUGGUCUCUGACAAACCAAAGAUGUGUGACUUGUUCAGCACUUUGAGUGCCAUGUGGAGCUCUAAUGGUUCAUAAACAAAUCAAAUCAAUUUAGCUGAUUAGUGUCUAAAUGCAUUUGAGUGUUCUGUCAUUCACAGUUAAUUGGCAUUGCUUCCAUUUCAAUCUGACAUGAUUUGAUUGUGUUGUGAAGACCAUUGAGUUUCAAAGUAACCCUCUGUUUCUCCAAAUAAGAGCAACCCCAGCUAGCACAUAACGUUCUGAGAACCAUAUGUUUCUUAGAGCUUGGUGAGAGCAUGGUUGUCCUUUGGUUAUUUUGCCACAAUGCUCUGGGAAUGGUGCAAGAUACCCAGAUACAUAACGUUGUGAGAACCACAUGUUUCUUAGGUGGGAAUUUCAGUACAUAAUGUUUUCUGCAGGUUUCCUCGUGGUUCUAUGUAAGGAUGUUCUCAGAACAUUAAAGCUUUCCAUAAAAAAAAAGUUACUAAAAACAGUAACAUUCAGAGUGUUCUACAAAUGUUAUUUAAAAACAUAAUUUCCGUUCUCAGAAUGUUAAUUACACCUCCCGGGAAAACUUUCAGGGAACCAUAGUAAAACAUUCUCAGAACCUCCCUGCAACCUAAAAAUGUACUGUACGUUCCCAGAACAGAUCAUUUUCACCUCCGUUCUUAGAACUUAAAAAAUUCACUAGGUCUAAGGCACUGAAUCUCAGUGCUAGAGGUAUCACUACACACCCGGGUUUGAUCACCGGCUGUAUCACAACUGGAUGUGAUUGUAAGUCCCAUAGGGCGGCGCACAAUUGACCCAACGUCAUCCAGGUUAGAGUUUCGCGGGGGUAUGCCGUCAUUGUAAAUAAGAAUUUGUUCUUACCUGACUUGCCUAGUGUUAUGACUCUCGCUCCUGGGUGAGGAUCAAAGAAAUUCCCCCCCUCCCACUCUCUCCCAUCAGAGAGGAAGGGGGGGAAGUUGGGCUGGCUUUAUGACUUAACAACCGGUCGUAAACUUUCUCUCUCUUGCCUUUGCAGUAUUGAGAAUGGAAUGUCUGAGUGUUACAACAGAGAGAUACUUGCCAGUACUUUAACAUCAAAAGAUUGGACAUUGAAACAAUAUUUCUAACUUAAAGAAUGUGGGAAAUGGUCGGUGGGAGUCAAACAUAAUCAUGUCAUAUCAAUUAGCAUUUUGUGAUGUCAUUACGGAUGGUAUAACAAAAUAACUGUAACUCUGAAAGUAGUCACGUCCUAAUUACCAGAUUUACAUCUAAAUGUUGUAAAACUUAUAUGAUUAAAUAUGGAACUAUUUGUGAAAAGAUAGCAAUGUGAUUUUAGCCUUCUAAAUGUUUUUCAUAAACUUUUGCCAAGUCAGUAACCACGCCCACGUGUGCACAGACAUUGUGGCAACGUGAUGGAACCGCCCUCCAAGGCGAGUGCUUACUCGCUGAAGAAUUAACAUAUUAGACCAAAACAUGCCGGGUUGCUGCCGGUGUGUAAAAUGGUCCUAGCUGUACCCUGAAUAAUCAACCAUUUAGACAAGAGAACAUGAGGAUCAUCCACAUGUUGAAAUAGUUAAAUCUCUACAGACCAGUAUGAUUGCAAUUUAAAUACAGACCAGACAGCGUGGAGUGGUGGGUACACGGCUGACAAAUGGUUUAAAACUACCAGACCAG